rnacentral:lncRNA from 1 species
UGAUAAAUAAAAAAGAAAUAAAACAAAAUAAGUCAAGAGUUUCCUUUUUCUCCAUAUUUUGAGUUGUGUGGAUGAAAAUGGGUUUUUGCCAAAAAAAGAAGGUAGGUUGGUAGGAGAGUCAAAAGUAAAAGAAGACGGCGACAGAAAAACCGUUAUAUAACGGAAGAAAGAAUUCAAAAAUACAUUCCUUCUCCUGUUUGGACUUCGUCUCAGUCUAGACGACGAAAGGAAUAGUUCGUCAGCCAAUCAACUUUUUGAACUAUU